CUCAGGGCAUGUGAAUCCUCAAGAGUUUUACCUGUUGAAGGAACCUGGGAGCCAGGCAUUUUUGAGCACUUUUCUAUAGGCUGUGCAUCCCAGACCUUUGUGAGCUGUCUUUUUGCUUGGAGGAGGAAAAAGACCUGUCCAGUCGGUCUUUUUGCUAUUCUACUGUCAGCUGUUUCUCUGCUUUCACAAAGCCUUGAUCCUGAAGUUACCACUGACUUCUGUAAAGAUGGGAGGGAUGUAUUUACAAAGCAAAACUCACAGCUGGCAGGUAUGGGUCUGCAGCUUUCAGGAUCCCACCAGCCAUCCAAGUCCUUCAUCUUCUCUGGACAUGCAAAAUCUUGUAUACUCCCUCAAGGCAAAGGUCCUUAUAUGCACCCUCUUCCCCCGCCCCACCGGCUGACAUGGGAACAGCCUGUGAUAGGCACUGCUACUGGAUGCUAUUGUACCCAAAUGGUGUCGGUAUAUGAGAAAAGCAAGGCCUACACAAAUGUUCAGGGAGAUGUCAAACUGGAAAGAAAAAAAGUGGCAAUUUAACUACACGUUUUUCAAACCCCACAGGAGGCAAGGUUUGCAUUUUUUGAUCAAUUUGGAGAUGAUCUUACUUUGCCUUCAGCACCCAUCUUUAAUUCACUUUAUCUUGCUCUUGAAUUUUUUGGUGAGGGAAGUAGACCACUGAACCUAGUCAGCUCCUUUGAGCUGCUGAGGGUUUCUGAAUUGUACCUCCGCGCAUUCAUGGCCUGUGAUCCCUACUUUAAUGACAGAAUGGAUCAAAACACUGGAUCUAAGUAGCAAGUUACAUGAAAUUUGAAUGUGCAUCUGCAUUUUGUGACUUGUGCCAGCUGCUUUUAUUUGCUGGUAUUCCUAUGCCUAUGCUUUAAUGACUCAUCUUCAAGAGCAAACACUUAUCUGCUUAUGUUUACGCUUCUUCUUAAAGCAUCAUGCAGUCUUUAAAGUUGCCA
rnacentral:lncRNA from 1 species